rnacentral:misc_RNA from 1 species
UACGUAGGGACCAAGCGUUGUUCGGAUUUACUGGGCGUAAAGGGAGCGUAGGCGGCGUGACAAGUCACUUGUGAAAUCUCCGGGCUUAACUCGGAGCGGCCAAGUGAUACUGUUGUGCUGGGGUGCAGAAGGGGCAGCCGGAAUUCUUGGUGUAGCGGUGAAAUGCGUAGAUAUCAAGAGGAACACCUGAGGUGAAGACGGGUUGCUGGGCUGACACUGACGCUGAGGCUCGAAAGCUAGGGGAGCAAACGGG